UCUAUAGUAACAAACAUUUUAUAUUGAUUAUCGCAUUCAGAAAAAUAAGUUCUAAAAAUAUCCAUAGCUACAUGGGUUAUUUUAUUAUUAAGAAAUAACAGUCGAAACAGUUUAUUUUAUUGGACCACAUAUUAUAUGAACAAUUUUUCAGUUAUUUUGAUUCAGUCACUGAUUAAACCAUUGGAGGGGUCCGAUCUAAGUGUUUGGUGGCUUAUUGACGAUGCACACGGUUAGAUCAACGAUGAUCUCUUGUAAAAUUGUUAUUUCUUUUUUUUUUCUGUAUUCAUUUUGAGCGUCGUCGGUGUUUUUAAGACCAUCAAAAGUAUUGUCAAAAAUGAGCUUUUUAUGGUAUUAAUUAUAAUAGUGGAAUUGUUGUGGUGUGUUUUAUAUAUGUUGUAAUUAAAAAAGGAAAAAUGUAUCUUAAAGUAUUUUAUUUUAUGCAGUUAAACAUCCUCUCCUUAUGUCAGUCAUUUUUUAAUUAUUUAUGUUUGUAUUAAAUUUGUUGUUUAAUAUACAGUGUGGUCCAUGAUGUUUUGACAAAAUCAAUAACUUGAUCCAAUCAAUAUUUUUCAUUGAUUUAUUUUUAAAGUAAUUUUUACAGCUAAAAACUAAUAGUUGUUCAAUUUAUUAAAAAAAAAUGUAAAACUAACGAAAAAUGCAAAACGAAAUUCAAGAUAAUCAUUUUGUAGACUAAAUUUUAAGGAAAAAUUUGAUUUAAAAAAAUAUACCUUAUUAAUAUUAAGUAAUUAAUUUCCUAUAACAUUUUAAAGUUAGUGAAAAUUUGAAUUUUUGUAUUUUUUUAAGAUAUCAAAUAUUGAAAUAUAUAUUAAAAAAUGACAGAAGGAACUUUUUCAAAACACCGUGGACUUAUUUAUUAGGGCGAAUAAAAAAAACGUUGUUUUUUGAAAUUUUAAUGUGAACCAUUUAACUUUAUUAUAUACAUUAAAAAAAAUAUUUUGUGAAGAUUUGAGAUUUAAAAAAAAAAAUUUUUGGUUGCUUACCGUGUUACUAAUAUUUUGACCAAAAAUAUGCCAAAAAAUAAUAGCAGUCUCUGUUAUUUAAUUUUUGGUCAAAUAUCAAGAUUAGUAUAUCAAAACAGUUUGAUUUUUACUGUAGAGUGCAUAUUUCUCAGUUUCAAAAUUUUAAGUUGAAAAUUGAUA